UAGAAGCAGCUUUGUUUUUGGAAAGUAAAUAUUUGUAUAGAAUUUUCAUCACAAAUAGUUUAAGGAUUCUGUUUGAUGUGUUGCAGAACUGAAUAUUUGGUUCUCUUUCAAUUCUAGAGUAUGAACUACAAUCAAACUGGCCACACCCACAGGACGUUGAACCGCAAUGUUGAAUUAGAAUGACAGUAAGAGGAAUUUACUGGAUUAUAAUUUAAAGAAAUUCAACUCGGACUUUUGCGAGAUGGGUUUCCAGAAUUACUGAUGUCCAUCUCAGCAUCUUGCCAAGACCACUCAGUUCACUUCCAGAUAUAGACACUCUUAUGGUGGAGGGCUGCAGGGUGGAAUGUAGACUCAUCUCCUUAAGUGAGAGAGGAAAGAAAAAAGGCCUCUUCUAGUGUAAGGGUAAACCAAGUGCCAGACUGACGAAUGGAGAUCUCCUCCAACAAUAAACAGAGGGAUAUGUGGACAUAGGAGCCAAGCCUCCAACCAGAAGAUAGAGAGCACAGGGGCAUUUAGAGGAGGUUACUAGCGGUGCAGUCAUUUCACACUUUUCAAGAGAUUUGAACAGAUCUGUUUACAAAGCAGAGGAGAAAUGAUUGGGCUCACUGCGUUUCCAAUCAAGGACAAUUAAAAAACCUCUCGGUUAGAAAGUCACAAUAAAAAAAAUCUAAAUACUGCUGAAAAGAGGGUAUGUUUUGUCCCUGCAAAUUUCUCUGCGGAAUUUAAUGCAUUUCACAGUUUGUUUAUUAGUGCUCCAGCCAUGUGGAAUGCAGAGUAAUGGCACCACAGAGGGAACACAUCGCAGGGACCAUUAGCUAACUAGAGCAGCUCAGACACUGAGUUUAGAGAGAGCUGUCCAAAGUGUGACACACACCUCUACUGUGCACACACACUUGCAAAUGGAAACACUUUUUACCUUUUUACGAUUUUGAUGAGCCACACAGGCGUUUAUUUGCAAUACUCAUUCUGAAAAUAUAGUCUAUAAAUAACUCAAAAGUAUAACAGAUAUGUUGUCUGAAAAGCUUAUGUUGGAAUGGGAA